rnacentral:rRNA from 1 species
GGGGAGCCGUAGAGAAAUCGAGUCUUAAUAGGGCGUUUAGUUGCUGGGUAUAGACCCGAAACCAGGUGAUCUAUCCAUGAGCAGGUUGAAGGUUGGGUAACACUAACUGGAGGACCGAACCCACUGUCUUUGAAAAGCCAGGGGAUGACUUGUGGAUAGGGGUGAAAGGCUAAUCAAACUCGGUGAUAGCUGGUUCUCCCCGAAAGCUAUUUAGGUAGCGCCUCGGACGAACACCAUUGGGGGUAGAGCACUGUUUCGGCUAGGGGGUCAUCCCGACUUACCAAACCGAUGCAAACUCCGAAUACCAAUGAGUACUAUCCGGGAGACAGACUGCGGGUGCUAACGUCCGUAGUCAAGAGGAAAACAAUCCAGACCGCCAGCUAAGGCCCCAAAAUUAUAGUUAAGUGGGAAACGAUGUGGGAAGGCACAGACAGC